rnacentral:rRNA from 1 species
AUGCCUGUACCAUAACCGACACAGGUGGGUAGGUAGAGUAUACUAAGGGGCGCGAGAUAACUCUCUCUAAGGAACUCGGCAAAAUGACUCCGUAACUUCGGGAGAAGGAGUGCCUUAUUUAUAAGGUUGCAAUAACAAGAUCCAAGCAACUGUUUAUCAAAAACACAGGUCUCCGCUAAGUCGUAAGACGAUGUAUGGGGGCUGACGCCUGCCCAGUGCCAGAAGGUUAAAGAAGUUGGUUAGUGUAUGCGAAGCUGAUGACUGAAGCCCUGGUGAACGGCGGCCGUAACAAUAACGGUCCUAAGGUAGCGAAAUUCCUUGUCGGGUAAGUUCCGACCCGCACGAAAGGCGUAAUGAUUUGGAUACUGUCUCGGAGAGAGGCUCGGUGAAAUAGACUUGUCUGUGAAGAUGCGGACUACCUGCACCAGGACAGAAAGACCCUAUGAAGCUUUACUGUAACUUGAAAUUGGAAUUGGACUUUGCUUGCGCAGUAUAGGUGGGAAGCGUUGAAGAUAUUCUUGCGGGAGUAUUGGAGCUAUCAGUGAGAUACCACUCUUGUAAUGUUAGAUUUCUAACUUUGAACCAUAAUCUGGUCAAAGAACAGUUUCAGGUGGGCAGUUUGACUGGGGCGGUCGCCUCCCAAAUGGUAACGGAGGCGUACAAAGGUUUCCUCUGAACGGAUAGAAAUCGUAUCUAGAGUGUAAAGGCAUAAGGAAGCUUGACUGUGAGACCUACAAGUCGAGCAGGGACGAAAGUCGGUCUUAGUGAUCUGACGGUACUGAGUGGAAAGGCCGUCACUCAACGGAUAAAAGUUACUCUAAGGAUAACAGGCUGAUCUCCCCCAAGAGUUCACAUCGACGGGGAGGUUUGGCACCUCGAUGUCGGCUCAUCGCAUCCUGGGGCGGUAGUACGUCCCAAGGGUUGGGCUGUUCGCCCAUGAAAGCGGUACGCGAGCUGGGUUCAGAACGUCGUGAGACAGUUCGGUCCAUAUCCGGUGUAGGCGUUAGAAUAUUGAGAGGAGCCUUCUUUAGUACGAGAGGACCGAGAAGGACACACCGCUGGUGUACCAGUUAUCGUGCCAACGGUAAACGCUGGGUAGCUAUGUGUGGAGUGGAUAACCGCUGAAAGCAUCUAAGUGGGAAGCCCACCUCAAGAUGAGUAUUCCCAUGGCGUUAGCCAGUAAGGUCACGGGAAGAACACCCGUUGAUAGGCUCUACGUGGAAGCCGGGCAACCGGUGAAGCGGAGGAGUACUAAUAGACCGAGGGCUUGAC